rnacentral:snRNA from 1 species
GUGCUCACUUUGGCAGCACGUAUACUAAAAUUGGAAUGAUACAGAGAAGAUUAGCAUGACCCCAGAACAAGGAUGCUAUGCAGAUUCAUGAAGCGUUUCAUAAUUUU